AGCAGCCGCGGUAAUUCCAGCUCCAAUAGCGUAUAUUAAAGUUGUUGCAGUUAAAAAGCUCGUAGUUGAAUUUCGGGGUUAGUAGGUUGGUCAUGCCUCUGGUAUGUACUGGUCUCACUGAUUCCUCCUUCCUGAUGAACCUUAAUGCCAUUAAUUUGGUGUUUUGGGGAAUUUGGACUGUUACUUUGAAAAAUUAGAGUGUUUAAAGCAAGCUAACGCUUGAAUACAUUAGCAUGGAAUAAUGAAAUAGGACGUUCGAUCCUAUUUUGUUGGUUUCUAGGAUUGACGUAAUGAUUAAUAGGGAUAGUUGGGGGCAUUAGUAUUCAAUUGUCAGAGGUGAAAUUCUUGGAUUUAUUGAAGACUAACUACUGCGAAAGCAUUUGCCAAGGAUGUUUUCAUUAAUCAAGAACGAAAGUUAGGGGAUCGAAGACGAUCAGAUACCGUCGUAGUCUUAACCAUAAACUAUGCCGACUAGGGAUCGGAUGAUGUUAAUUUUUAAUGACUCAUUCGGCGCCUUACG
rnacentral:sRNA from 1 species